rnacentral:rRNA from 1 species
CCUACGGGUGGCAGCAGUGAGGAAUAUUGGUCAAUGGGCGAGAGCCUGAACCAGCCAAGUCGCGUGAGGGAGUACUGCCCUAUGGGUUGUAAACCUCUUUUGUCGGGGAGCAAAAGCCGGACGUGUCCGGCUGUGAGAGUACCCGAAGAAAAAGCAUCGGCUAACUGCGUGCCAGCAGCCGCGGUAAUACGGAGGAUGCGAGCGUUAUCCGGAUUUAUUGGGUUUAAAGGGUGCGCAGGCGGAUUUUUAAGUCAGCGGUAAAAUCGUGGGGCUCAACCCCAUCCAGCCGUUGAAACUGGGGAUCUAGAGUGUGCGAGAGGUAUGCGGAAUGCGUGGUGUAGCGGUGAAAUGCAUAGAUAUCACGCAGAACCCCGAUUGCGAAGGCAGCAUACCGGUGCACAACUGACGCUCAGGCACGAAAGCGUGGGUAUCGAACAGGAUUAGAUACCCUUGUAGUC